rnacentral:rRNA from 1 species
AUACGGAGGGUGCAAGCGUUGUUCGGAAUCACUGGGCGUAAAGGGCGCGCAGGCGGUUUGGUAAGUCAGAUGUGAAAACCCACGGCUCAACCGUGGAAGUGCAUUUGAAACUGUCAGACUUGAGUACUGGAGGGGAAAGUGGAAUUCCCGGUGUAGAGGUGAAAUUCGUAGAUAUCGGGAGGAAUACCGGUGGCGAAGGCGACUUUCUGGCUAGAUACUGACGCUGAGGCGCGAAAGCGUGGGGAGCAAACAGGAUUAGAAACCCGAGUAGUCC